ACACCGGCGGCCCGAGUGGUAACCGCUUUUAUUGGGUCUAAAGGGUCUGUAGCCGGCCAAGUAAGUCCCUUGGGAAAUCUGGCAGCUUAACUGUCAGGCUGCUAGGGGAUACCGCUAGGCUUGGGACCGGGAGAGGUGAGAGGUACCUUGGGGGUAGGGGUGAAAUCUUGUGAUCCUCGGGGGACCACCAGUGGCGAAGGCGUCUCACCAGAGCGGGUCCGACGGUAAGGGACGAAAGCUAGGGGCACGAACCGGAUUAGAUAUCCGGGUAGUCCUAGCCGUAAACGAUGCUCGCUAGGUGUCAGUCACGGUGCGACCGUGAUUGGUGCCGUAGGGAAGCCGUGAAGCGAGCCACCUGGGAAGUAUGGCCGCAAGGCUGAA
rnacentral:rRNA from 1 species